GUAUAGCUCAUCGGAGCAUGUGCUUCACAUGCACAAGGACCUGGGUUCAAUCCCCAGUAC
rnacentral:tRNA from 1 species